rnacentral:miRNA from 1 species
CGCCAAUGACAAACUGUUGAU